UCUCCGCCCCGCUCAGCCUGCUCUCAGGGCCCCAUAUUGGGCCUCGCUUGGCUUGUCUUUUUUGCAUUUUCUCCUUCCCCCUCUCUCCCUCACUUUAUUCCCUCUUUUCCUGUCUUGCUCUUUUCUCCUCCAACACCUUGGCCCUCUGCCCUUUGCCUCGGGCUGGGGGUGCAAAGAUGAGCAGGGCAGAGCUCCGGCCAGGGCGGGAGACAGACACCAACACCGGAAUCCUCUGGAGACAGUGACGCCGAGAGAGAGAGAGGUGGGCGCAGGGCACAGCGAGGACUGGGGGUGGCCGCGGAGGCUUCCCCGCAGUCCCCGGCUUCCCUCAGUCUUCACAUCUGUGCAAUGAGCCUCCUGACACCAGCUGCUCCCUGGGGCCCAGGACUAAACAAGAAUGACGCUCCCAGUGUCCUCACUGAGACAAGAUGUCACCGGAUCAGGAUAAUGAGGUUGAUUGUGCCGUAAAUUGGUGACCGCUCCAUUCCCAGCUUAAGACGGUGCUCAGCUCUGUCUGGGGCAGCUUCUCUCAUAGCAGAGAUGCAGAGAGGCAAGCAGAAGGCUCUUAAGACCGGACCUCGGAACAGGCGCGUCGUCACUCUGUUUACAUGCUGUUGGCCAAUUCAAGUCACGUGGUCAAGCCUAAAACCAAGGGAUGAAGGAACACUCUGCCCACAGUGAGGCCAAGGAAAGGAAUGGAUGCAGAGAGAGAGAUGAAGAACUGGGGCCAGUAAUGCCAUGGACCUCAGGGUAUAACUUUAUAUUGAAUUUUUCUUUUUGGUCCCUGAGUAAAUUUUAUGGUAUUUUGCAUAUGUAUUUCCUAAUGCUCAUUAGAUUUAUUUCUAGAUAUUACGGUUCUUAUUGCUAUUGUUAGUGGGACCUUUUAUCCAUUAUCCAUUAAAAUAGU